CGUUUGCGACGCCCAACACACAAAACAAGCGGUGAGUGCUUUGGGGUGGGGUGACUGCGUACCUUUUGUAUAAUGGGUCAGCGACUUAUAUUCUGUAGCAAGGUUAACCGUAUAGGGGAGCCGAAGGGAAACCGAGUCUUAACUGGGCGUUAAGUUGCAGGGUAUAGACCCGAAACCCGGUGAUCUAGCCAUGGGCAGGUUGAAGGUUGGGUAACACUAACUGGAGGACCGAACCGACUAAUGUUGAAAAAUUAGCGGAUGACUUGUGGCUGGGGGUGAAAGGCCAAUCAAACCGGGAGAUAGCUGGUUCUCCCCGAAAGCUAUUUAGGUAGCGCCUCGUGAACUCAUCUUCGGGGGUAGAGCACUGUUUCGGCUAGGGGGUCAUCCCGACUUACCAACCCGAUGCAAACUGCGAAUACCGAAGAAUGUUAUCACGGGAGACACACGGCGGGUGCUAACGUCCGUCGUGAAGAGGGAAACAACCCAGACCGCCAGCUAAGGUCCCAAAGUCACAGUUAAGUGGGAAACGAUGUGGGAAGGCUCAGACAGCCAGGAUGUUGGCUUAGAAGCAGCCAUCAUUUAAAGAAAGCGUAAUAGCUCACUGGUCGAGUCGGCCUGCGCGGAAGAUGUAACGGGGCUAAACUGUGCACCGAAGCUGCGGCAGCGACGCUUAUGCGUUGUUGGGUAGGGGAGCGUUCUGUAAGCCUGCGAAGGUGUCCUGUGAGGGAUGCUGGAGGUAUCAGAAGUGCGAAUGCUGACAUAAGUAACGAUAA
rnacentral:rRNA from 2 species